UAUAAACUACCUGCAUUCAAAUUUUCACUUAAAUCCACCUCAUUUUUUAACCUAUAUGCCGAAAUCGGCAAAAUCCCUUAUAAAUCACAAUAAUAUGCCGAGAUAGGGUUGUUGUUGUUCCCGUUUGGAACAUGACUCCACUAUUAAAAAACGUGGACUCCAACGUCACAGGGUGCAAAACCGUCUGUUACGGCGACUUACUGUACUUGACCGGCUCUUUGGGAUUUGCUCUUGGCGUCGAGUUGGCGACCCUUUCUAAAUCGCUUUGUUA
rnacentral:rRNA from 1 species